rnacentral:rRNA from 1 species
AUACAUGCAAGUCGAGCGCGGGAAGCGAGCUGAUCCCUUCGGGGUGACGCUCGUGGAACGAGCGGCGGACGGGUGAGUAACACGUGGGCAACCUGCCUGUAAGAUCGGGAUAACUCCGGGAAACCGGGGCUAAUACCGGGUAAUACUUUCUUUCGCAUGAAGGAAAGUUGAAAGAUGGCUUCUCGCUAUCACUUACAGAUGGGCCCGCGGCGCAUUAGCUAGUUGGUGAGGUAACGGCUCACCAAGGCGACGAUGCGUAGCCGACCUGAGAGGGUGAUCGGCCACACUGGGACUGAGACACGGCCCAGACUCCUACGGGAGGCAGCAGUAGGGAAUCUUCCGCAAUGGACGAAAGUCUGACGGAGCAACGCCGCGUGAACGAUGAAGGUCUUCGGAUCGUAAAGUUCUGUUGUUAGGGAAGAACAAGUACCGUGCGAAUAGAGCGGUACCUUGACGGUACCUAACGAGGAAGCCCCGGCUAACUACGUGCCAGCAGCCGCGGUAAUACGUAGGGGGCAAGCGUUGUCCGGAAUUAUUGGGCGUAAAGCGCGCGCAGGCGGUUCCUUAAGUCUGAUGUGAAAGCCCACGGCUCAACCGUGGAGGGUCAUUGGAAACUGGGGAACUUGAGGACAGAAGAGGAGAGUGGAAUUCCACGUGUAGCGGUGAAAUGCGUAGAUAUGUGGAGGAACACCAGUGGCGAAGGCGACUCUCUGGUCUGUUUCUGACGCUGAGGUGCGCAAGCGUGGGUAGCGAACAUGCAUCACAUACUCUGGUAGUCCACACCGUAAAGGAGGAAUGUUACGUGCUA